UGGGGGAUAUUGCACAAUGGGCGAAAGCCUGAUGCAGCGACGCCGCGUGGGGGAUGAAGGCUUUCGGGUUGUAAACCUCUUUCGCUAUCGAACAAGGCCCGCUUAGGGUGGGUUGAGGGUAGGUGGAGAAGAAGCGCCGGCUAACUACGUGCCAGCAGCCGCGGUAAUACGUAGGGCGCGAGCGUUGUCCGGAAUUAUUGGGCGUAAAGGGCUUGUAGGCGGCUUGUUGCGCCUGCUGUGAAAACGCGGGGCUUAACUUCGCGCGUGCAGUGGGUACGGGCAGGCUUGAGUGUGGUAGGGGUGACUGGAAUUCCAGGUGUAGCGGUGGAAUGCGCAGAUAUCUGGAGGAACACCGAUGGCGAAGGCAGGUCACUGGGCCAUUACUGACGCUGAGGAGCGAAAUCAUGGGUAGCGAACAGG
rnacentral:rRNA from 1 species